rnacentral:rRNA from 1 species
GUGCCAGCCGCCGCGGUAAUACGUAGGGGGCGAGCGUUGUCCGGAUUCAUUGGGCGUAAAGCGCGCGCAGGCGGUUGGGAGAGCCCGGCGUGAAAGCCCCCAGCUCAACUGGGGGAGGCCGUCGGGGACCUUCCGACUGGAGGCCGGUAGGGGCGAGCGGAAUUCCCGGUGUAGUGGUGGAAUGCGUAGAUAUCGGGAGGAACACCAGUGGCGAAGGCGGCUCGCUGGACCGGUCCUGACGCUCAGGCGCGAAAGCGUGGGGAGCGAUCCGGAUUAGAAACCCUUGUAGUCC